rnacentral:rRNA from 1 species
UAGAGUUUGAUCCUGGCUCAGGACGAACGCUGGCGGCGUGCUUAACACAUGCAAGUCGAACGGUAAGGCCCUUUCGGGGGUACACGAGUGGCGAACGGGUGAGUAACACGUGGGUAAUCUGCCCUGCACUUCGGGAUAAGCCUGGGAAACCGGGUCUAAUACCGGAUAUGAGCUCCUGCCGCAUGGUGGGGGUUGGAAAGUUUUUCGGUGCAGGAUGAGUCCGCGGCCUAUCAGCUUGUUGGUGGGGUAAUGGCCUACCAAGGCGACGACGGGUAGCCGGCCUGAGAGGGUGAUCGGCCACACUGGGACUGAGACACGGCCCAGACUCCUACGGGAGGCAGCAGUGGGGAAUAUUGCACAAUGGGCGAAAGCCUGAUGCAGCGACGCCGCGUGGGGGAUGACGGUCUUCGGAUUGUAAACUCCUUUCAGUAGGGACGAAGCGAAAGUGACGGACCUGCAGAAG